CCGGCCGGGUGCGCGCGCGCGUUGCUGUAGGGGCCCGGAGUCAGCUACGGAACGUUCGUCUCCCUGCCUGGCGCGCGCCCGGUGCUGACGGAGCCAACGAGGGGCCCGAGGGGGACGUUCUCUGCCGCCCCCGCCCGGAGCCGCAGGCACCAGGCUGCAGCGUAACAUCCCUGUUUUGCUCCAGAUCAUUCCAUCCUUCCAGGGAAGGGAAAUGGCUGCAGUGGAGCCAGUUGAGGGACCAGUGACCUUCGAGGAGGUGGCUGUGUAUUUCACCA